rnacentral:rRNA from 1 species
UACGGGGGGGGCAAGCGUUGUUCGGAAUUACUGGGCGUAAAGGGCUCGUAGGUGGCCAACUAAGUCAGACGUGAAAUCCCUCGGCUUAACCGGGGAACUGCGUCUGAUACUGGAUGGCUUGAGUUUGGGAGAGGGAUGCGGAAUUCCCAGUGUAGCGGUGAAAUGCGUAGAUAUUGGGAGGAACACCGGUGGCGAAGGCGGCUCACUGGACCGGUACUGACGCUGAGACGCGAAAGCCAGGGGAGCAAACGGG